AUUGAACGCUGGCGGCAUGCCUUACACAUGCAAGUCGAACGGUAGAGUAGCAAUACUUGAGAGUGGCGAACGGGUGAGUAAUAUAUCGGAACGUGCCCAGUCGUGGGGGAUAACGUAGAGAAAUUUACGCUAAUACCGCAUACGAUCUAAGGAUGAAAGCGGGGGAUUCGCAAGAACCUCGCGCGAUUGGAGCGGCUGAUAUCAGAUUAGGUUGUUGGUGAGGUAAAAGCUCACCAAGCCGACGAUCUGUAGCUGGUUUGAGAGAACGACCAGCCACACUGGGACUGAGACACGGCCCAGACUCCUACGGGAGGCAGCAGUGGGGAAUUUUGGACAAUGGGCGCAAGCCUGAUCCAGCAAUGCCGCGUGCAGGAUGAAGGCCUCGG
rnacentral:rRNA from 1 species